UACAGAGGGGGCAAGCGUUGUUCGGAAUUACUGGGCGUAAAGGGCGCGUAGGCGGCCUUCUAAGUCAGACGUGAAAUCCCCGGGCUCAACCCGGGAACUGCGUCUGAGACUGGAGAGCUCGAAGUCCGGGAGAGGGAUGUGGAAUUCCAGGUGUAGCGGUGAAAUGCGUAGAUAUCUGGAGGAACACCCGGUGGCGAAGGCAGCUCGCUGGGACGUUACUGACGCUGAGACGCGAAAGCGUGGGGAGCAAACAGG
rnacentral:rRNA from 1 species